AUUUAUUUUAUGCCGUUUUAUAUUGUUACAUCGUGAAAUGUAUUACCUAUCAAAGGACAAACUAAUGGGAUAUAAAACAUUUAUCGAAAUCCGUACAUUUGGUAUAUUAUGGCGUCGGGAAAUUUUUAAUCACACCUCUCUAUCGAUUUUUGUUAACACCGUGGCUCUGUGCGUUCUCCAGACCACCAAUAAAAUAAUAAUGUAUUCCGUUUUUAAUUUCAAACGUUUAUUCGAAUUUUACUCGAAUAAUAAGUUUCUAGUGUAAUGAUAUUAUUAUUUUGUAGGACAUAUUAUUAUAUACGAGUAAUAUAAUCGAAUGCAAUAAAUAAUAAUGUUUUAGUCGUUUGUAAAAAGCAUCAUGAUUUAACGCGUUACCGACCUAGUACCUACGUAUAAUUAAAAUAUUAUAAUAAUAAUGUGGAGGUUUAAUUAAAACGAGAUCGUUUCGUUUAUUAUAAUAACGUUUAAUAUAGGUGGUUAUAAGUACCUCUACAUAAAUAAUAAUAAAUUUAAAAUAAAUAAUUAACUUCUAAGAGCGGGUAUACCUGUAACUAUAUUCCUU